CGGAGCGUAGCGCAGCCCGGUAGCGCACCUGAAUGGGGUUCAGGGGGUCGAGGGUUCAAAUCCCUCCGCUCCGACAA
rnacentral:tRNA from 1 species